CACAUUCUUUAUAGAACAUUUGCCAUGGGUGAGCUGAUUAAAUCACAUCUCCAGUGGUUUUAAUGCAAUUAGCAGGGCCUGGCAAACAACUGAAGCAAUGACAUAACCAGUCUGACUGUUUAAAUAUUCAAAGUCAGAGUUAGGGAGGACCCCUGAGGAUGGAGAAAUUGUGUGCUCCACUUAAACAUAUGCCCCAUACUAAAUUGAAUCUAAUCGCUAAGCAAAGAGUAAGGAGUAGAAGACCUGAGGCAAGAGGUGCUGAUGACACAUUUAUUAGGACCUAGAACCUCUUGGAUUUCAUCACGACAGUGAGCCAAGGCGUGGAGGAAGCAGAGGCUGAAUGAGGAGUAUCGCAGAUGAGCGAGGAUGUUUGCCUGGAGGAAAAUGGAAAUGGCAAAACAGAAGAGACGCAGUGACUAAUGAAAAGGACAAGAGAGAAGUGACAAUUCCUUUGAAUGGUACCAUUAGCUGCAUGCUGUUUUCAGGGCUCCAGGCCUCAAUAUUCCAACAUUUUCCAUUGUUUACAGAAAUUCCUAUGGAGACUUAUAGACUGUACAAAGCGCCAUCCUUGAUAGUUUGCUCUUUGUACAAUUAAGAAUGGCAUGCCCUUUCUAUAUCAUUUUUCAAGACUAUUAUUAAUCUUCUCUGAGACACAAGAAAAGACACAUAAUGAAUAUUGUCUCCUUACUACCGCCAUCCUGUUGUGCAGUUCAGAAGAAAAUCUUUGCCAGGUUUUGCAUAUCAAAUGACAGCAAAAAAUCUCCAAUAACUUUGAAAAGCAAUUAUGCACACAGUUUGUGAUCAAAAUUUGAUAUUCUGAAACACAAAAUGUGUUUCAAUAAGGGAAACUAUUUGAACACAUAUUUUUAGGAAAUCAUUGAUACAGAGAAAAAUUAGAAUUGAGACUUCACUAAAAAUUACCCAACCCUGGAAAGUAUGUGACUAAAUCCUAUGUAAUCAACAACUUGUAAGGUACUAACACAAAAGAAAUGUCUCUGUUAUUGUACUGCUUCAGGUACAUUUCUACCUAUAGGAACUUUUUAUUCAAAUAUCCUGCCUGAGGACAAAUAAAGCACCUGUAAAAGGGAAAAGCAAACAAAUAUACAAGGA
rnacentral:lncRNA from 1 species